GUGCAGCAGGCGAGAAACUUCACAAUGUGCGAAAGCACGAUGAGGGAAUCCCAAGUGCUUGCACGUAAGUGUAAGCUGUUUCUCUGUCUAAAACGCAGAGAGAGUAAGGGCUGGGUAAGACGGGUGCCAGCCGCCGCGGUAAUACCUGCAGCUCGAGUGGUGACCGUUAUUAUUGGGCCUAAAACGUCCGUAGCCGGUUUAAUAAAUGCCUGGGUAAAUCGGACCGCUUAACGGUUCGAAUUCCGGGUAGACUGUUAAACUUGAGACCGGGAGAAGUUAGAGGUACUCCUGGGGUAGAGGUGAAAUUCUGUAAUCCUAGGGGGACCACCAGUGGCGAAGGCGUCUAACUAGAACGGGUCUGACGGUGAGGGACGAAGCCCU
rnacentral:rRNA from 1 species